rnacentral:rRNA from 1 species
UGAAUUGCAGAAUCCCGUGAACCAUCGAGUCUUUGAACGCAAGUUGCGCCUGAAGCCAUUAGGCUAAGGGCACGUCUGCCUGGGCGUCGCGCAUCACAUCACCCCUUCCCCCAUAUUGGUGGAUGAGGUG